rnacentral:rRNA from 1 species
GAUGAACGCUGGCGGCGUGCCUAAUACAUGCAAGUCGAGCGAACGGACGAGAAGCUUGCUUCUCUGAUGUUAGCGGCGGACGGGUGAGUAACACGUGGAUAACCUACCUAUAAGACUGGGAUAACUUCGGGAAACCGGAGCUAAUACCGUAUAAUAUUUUGAACCGCAUGGUUCAAAAGUGAAAGACGGUCUUGCUGUCACUUCUAGAUGGAUCCGCGCUGCAUUAGCUAGUUGGUAAGGUAACGGCUUACCAAGGCAACGAUGCAUAGCCGACCUGAGAGGGUGAUCGGCCACACUGGAACUGAGACACGGUCCAGACUCCUACGGGAGGCAGCAGUAGGGAAUCUUCCGCAAUGGGCGAAAGCCUGACGGAGCAACGCCGCGUGAGUGAUGAAGGUCUUCGGAUCGUAAAACUCUGUUAUUAGGGAAGAACAUAUGUGUAAGUAACUGUGCACAUCUUGACGGUACCUAAUCAGAAAGCCACGGCUAACUACGUG